AGAGUUUGAUCAUGGCUCAGAACAAACGCUGGCGGCGUGCCUAACACAUGCAAGUCGUACGAGAAAGUCCGCUUCGGUGGAUGAGUAAAGUGGCGCACGGGUGAGUAACGCGUGGAUAAUCUACCCUUUAGUCUGGAAUAACUUAUCGAAAGGUGAACUAAUACCGGAUAAUAUCCCGAUUUCUUCGGCGAUCGGGAUCAAAGAAGGCCUCUGCUUGCAAGCUUUCACUGAAGGAUGAGUCCGCGUACCAUUAGCUAGUUGGCAGGGUAAUGGCCUACCAAGGUUAUGAUGGUUAGCUGGUCUGAGAGGAUGAUCAGCCACACUGGAACUGAAACACGGUCCAGACUCCUACGGGAGGCAGCAGUGAGGAAUAUUGCGCAAUGGGGGCAACCCUGACGCAGCAACGCCGCGUGAGUGAGGAAGGUUUUCGGAUUGUAAAGCUCUGUCGAGCGGAAAGAAGUGCAUGGUGGUUAAUAUCCAUCAUGCUUGACGGUACCGCUAAAGGAAGCACCGGCUAACUCCGUGCCAGCAGCCGCGGUAAUACGGGGGGUGCAAGCGUUGUUCGGAAUCAUUGGGCGUAAAGCGCGUGUAGGCGGCUGGACAAGUCAGAUGUGAAAGCCCUGGGCUUAACCCAGGAAGUGCAUUUGAAACUGUUCAGCUAGAGUAAGGGAGAGGAAAGUGGAAUUCCUGGUGUAGAGGUGAAAUUCGUAGAUAUCAGGAGGAACACCGGUGGCGAAGGCGACUUUCUGGCCCUAUACUGACGCUGAGACGCGAAAGCGUGGGUAGCAAACAGGAUUAGAUACCCUGGUAGUCCACGCUGUAAACGAUGUUCACUAUGUGUUGGGGGUAUUGACCCUUCCAGUGCCGCAGCUAACGCAUUAAGUGAACCGCCUGGGGAGUACGGUCGCAAGAUUAAAACUCAAGGAAUUGACGG
rnacentral:rRNA from 1 species